AGAGUUUGAUCCUGGCUCAGAUUGAACGCUGGCGGCAUGCCUUACACAUGCAAGUCGAACGGCAGCACGGACUUCGGCCUGGUGGCGAGUGGCGAACGGGGGAGUAAUAUAUCGGAACGUGCCCUAGAGUGGGGGAUAACGUAGCGAAAGUUACGCUAAUACCGCAUACGAUCUCAGGAUGAAAGCAGGGGACCGCAAGGCCUUGUGCUCCUGGAGCGGCCGAUAUCUGAUUAGCUAGUUGGUGGGGUAAAAGCCCACCAAGGCAACGAUCAGUAGCCGACCUGAGAGGACGACCAGCCACACUGGGACUGAGACACGGCCCAGACUCCUACGGGAGGCAGCAGUGGGGAAUUUUGGACAAUGGGGGCAACCCUGAUCCAGCAAUGCCGCGUGAGUGAAGAAGGCCUUCGGGUUGUAAAGCUCUUUUGUCAGGGAAGAAACGGUCCGGGCUAAUACCUCGUGCUAAUGACGGUACCGUAAGAAUAAGCACCGGCUAACUACGUGCCAGCAGCCGCGGUAAUACGUAGGGUGCGAGCGUUAAUCGGAAUUACUGGGCGUAAAGCGUGCGCAGGCGGUUAUAUAAGACAGAUGUGAAAUCCCCGGGCUCAACCUGGGACCUGCAUUUGUGACUGUAUAGCUAGAGUACGGUAGAGGGGGAUGGAAUUCCGCGUGUAGCAGUGAAAUCCGUAGAUUGCGGAGGAACACCGAUGGCGAAGGCAAUCCCCUGGACCUGUACUGACGCUCAUGCACGAAAGCGUGGGGAGCGAACAGGAUUAGAUACCCUGGUAGUCCACGCCGUAAACGAUGCUCACUCGCUGUUUGCGAUAUACAGCAAGCGGCCAAGCGAAAGCAUUAAGUGUCCCACCUGGGGAGUACGAUCGCAAGAUUGAAACUCAAAGGAAUUGACGGGGGCCCGCACAAGCGGUGGAGCAUGUGGUUUAAUUCGAUGAUACGCGAGGAACCUUACCAGGGCUUAAAUGUAGGUUGCAUUAGACAGAGAUGUUUAUUUCUUCGGACUACUUACAAGGUGCUGCAUGGUUGUCGUCAGCUCGUGCCGUGAGGUGUCAGGUUAAGUCCUAUAACGAGCGCAACCCCUGUCGUUAGUUGCCAGCAUGUAAAGAUGGGGACUCUAACGAGACUGCCGGUGCAAACCGCGAGGAAGGUGGGGAUGACGUCAAAUCAUCACGGCCCUUACGUCCUGGGCUACACACGUGCUACAAUGGCCGGUACAGAGAGCAGCCACUGGGUGACCAGGAGCGAAUCUCCAAAGUCGGUCUCAGUUCGGAUCGAAGUCUGCAACCCGACUUCGUGAAGCUGGAUUCGCUAGUAAUCGCAUAUCAGCCAUGAUGCGGUGAAUACGUUCCCGGGCCUUGUACACACCGCCCGUCAAACAAUGGAAGCUGGGGGUACCUGAAGUCUGUAACCGCAAGGAGCGGCCUAGGGUAAAACUAGUAACUGGUGUUAAGUCGUAACAAGGUAACCC
rnacentral:rRNA from 1 species